rnacentral:rRNA from 1 species
UACGUAGGGACCAAGCGUUGUUCGGAUUUACUGGGCGUAAAGGGCGCGUAGGCGGCCAAUUAAGUCAGCUGUGAAAUCUCCGAGCUUAACUCGGAACGGUCAGCUGAUACUGAUCUGCUAGAGUGCGGAAGGGGCAAUCGGAAUUCUUGGUGUAGCGGUGAAAUGCGUAGAUAUCAAGAGGAACACCUGAGGUGAAGACGGGUUGCUGGGCCGACACUGACGCUGAGUGCGCGAAAGCCAGGGGAGCAAACGGG